GGAGAACACAGCAGGCUAGGCAGCAUCUGGAAGAAAGGAGCAGUCAGCGUUUCGGGUAUAAACCCUUCUUCAGUAGUCAACGAAAUGUUGACUGCUCCUUUCCUCCAGGAGCUGCUUGGCCUGCUGUGUUCUCCCGGCCUCCUGUUUGUCUAUCCUUGGAUUUUGGCAUCUGCAGUUUUUUUGACAGGGGACUGUAACAUCAGUGAAGGCGGAGGGGCGGGGUCAGUGGGGACUGGGGCGGAGUUAAUGUUUUGACAGAGGCUGUAUCGUUAGUGAAGGCGUGGUGCCUAGAGUGGCGGCAGCAGCGGCGUGUGGAGUGAGUGGGGUCUUGGCCGCCGGAGAAAGGGGCGGGGUCAGUACAUCGAGUGCUUUCUGCGGGAGAGCUGUGUCCGGAAUCGCCACGGGCACCUGUUGUAUUGCUAGGACCCCCUUCCCACCUACACAAGAUGGCGGCGCCCAGUGGAGCGUCAGCGGUGGCGCCGUUUGGAGCGUGGCUCAGUCAACGGCUGGAGGAACUGGAAAUCGAUGAGGAUGUUUAUGGUUCGUACAUCAACGGAAUUUUGCGGGAGGAAGAAAACGAAGAAGAGAAGUCUGAAGCUCUUCAAGCUAUAUUAUCCGCAUUUCUGGAUGAAGAUUCAUUGGCAGCCAUUUGCAAAGAUAUAAUUCAGAAGUGGUCUGAGACCACAAGUAGUAUCACACAAGAAAAAAAUGUUGAAGAUGAAGUACAUGCCAUUGCAAGUAUGAUUGAGAAACAGGCUCAGAUUGUUGUGAAACAAAAAGAUGCUUCAGAAGAGGAAAAAUCUAGGAAAGCUGCAGUUCUUGCACAGUAUGCAAAUAUAACUGACGAGGAAGAUGAAGAUGAAGAAGCCCAUGGAACAAGUGGAUCAUUUAACUUUGAAGACAAAUCUCUUUUCAAAAACACAAAUGUUGAAGCUGUUCUUGUUGCGAAAAAAGCAGAAAGAGAUAAGGCUCGGGGAGAUGCACAAAAGAAAAAGGAGCAAGAUAAACUACAGCGAGAGAAAGAUAAGCUUGCUAAACAAGAAAGAAAGGAAAAGGAGAAGAAGAGAACACAGAAAGGAGAACGAAAGCGAUAGAUUAUUUGAAAAACAUUAGACUGGAGUGUGCAGUUGUUCAGAACUACAAGUUUACAUCCACAGGGCUGGAGAGGAAUUUGGAUUGGGAGAGAGGGAUGGAGUUGUCAUCAUCCUUACGGGUACUAAUGACAUUGAUCUGGCUGGAAAGAUACUUCUGCUGUAAGAUUUUGAAUUUAGGAACUCAACUAAAAACGUAGAACCUCCAAGGCAUUCAUGGAAUGGAGGGCAUUGCUGGUUAUGCCAGCAUCUAUUGCUUAUCCCUAAUUGCCCAUAGGGCAGUUAUAACAUCAACCACAUUGCUGGGGACCUGGAGUGACAUGAAAGGCAGAGCAGCUCUCCAUUGUUCAUAGCACUCCUCCAAUCGGACGUGAAGUUCAUUGGCUGGACCACUUCGAUUUUUCAUUGGUCUUGGAAAUCCAAAUGGUGGUAUAAAUCCAUAAAGGGAUGCAUCUCCAUAAAACAUAUCAUUGAAAAGAGGAUAUAAGUGACUGAACUCCUCAUAAGGAAAUAAUUCACUGGGAUCCAUUAAUGAAACAACAGGGUGUCCAAACUGAAGGUUAGUUCCUGAAGCAACACCACGUGCACCAAGUUGUGCCAUAUUAUGGUUCCGUCUAAAGUCACCCAUCAUGUAGGGACUUGAAAAAGAAGCUGACGAACGAGUCAUAUAAUUUGCUACACUGUUGCUGUCUCCAGCUCCUUGUUGGGAAUUGUGAUUAUUAUAAUAGUAAGACUGAGUACCUAGCAAAUCUCUGUACAUGCUCUGGGAGAAUUCAUCAUCCUUCUUUUUCACAUCUUCAUUCAGAUCAUAAUGGCAAUUUUGCUGUUUAGUCUGGUAACUAGGAUAUUUGUUCGCAACAAAUUGCUGAGUUGAUGAACUUGCAUGGAAUCCAUUUACUUGUUUUCCAUUUUGACAAUUCUUCUCAAUGGGUGAUUCGAAGUACACAUCUCCAGCUUUGUUUUGUCCUUCAACAUGCGUACCUGACUGAACCCGUUCCACAUUGUACGCAAAUUCACUACCAGACACCUUGGAAUGGUUAUCCUGACUAUAAAUUCCUGUGGGUCUCUGGAAGUAAACACUACUGUUUUGAGAAAAAGGCAAGGAAGACUGAUGUGAAGCUGGACCAAAAGAAUGGGAUGACGUUUUAGAGGCAGGAGAUACUGGAUUAUUGAGGUCUGUUGAGUUGUCUGCUUUCCCAAAGGAAGUAGUGGUAGUAGUUUCAGAACCAGAAGUAGUUAAUUUCGUCCAGGAUUGUCUGUUUUGAAUGCUGUAUUUUACCUCAAGUGGCACAGAAUCUGUCCUACUGCCAAGCCCAUUUGGUUCCUGUGACCUGGCCUACUCUGCUACAAGGACCUUCAGCCCAGGGUGUUAGAGUGAACGGACAAUGAACUCCACUCAAGAUGCGAGGGACAUUUUCAAGCAGCACCACAAUAAAAAGGAGUU